CUAUCAAUCCCAAAGUCCUUAGGUCUUCAGCAAAGCUUGGACCACUUGGCAAAGUCUUCUGUCUCCAGAGGAAUGAUGGGAAAACUAUGGGACAAAAGUCAGGAGAGUGGUGCUGGCUGAUCCUGGCCUGGACAUUGACUCCCUGGGGACUUUGGUGCUCUCUCGUGCUCUCUCUGUCUCCAGUGAUAAGCUGACCAGAUGCCUUGAAUUAAGUACAGUAUGCAGCAAUGCCAGCCCUGGACUUUUCCCCAACCUAUCACCCAACCCACUUACCUGGAGCCAAGGUAAUUU
rnacentral:lncRNA from 10 species